rnacentral:tRNA from 1 species
CGGGGUAUGGCGCAGCCUGGUAGCGCACCUGCUUUGGGAGCAGGGGGUCGUGGGUUCGAAUCCCCCUACCCCGACCA